CUUUUUGAGGAGCCUGGGUGUCCCUCCUCUGCUAUCCUUUCCCAAGAGCCAGGAUAAGAAGCAGUCACGAGCAUAGUGGCAGAGAAGGAAAAAGGGCUGGGGAGGCAGUACGCCUGCAGGGAGUGAUUUCUACCUGUCUCCCGAGAGGGGUGCUCAGGUUUUGGGGCUCAGUGGGAGAACAGCUUUGAGUUUAGCUUCAGACCAAGCCAAGUUUGGUUUUGCAGACACCUUUCACACCUACCGCCUUUUCUGGUAUGCUAGAAGAGAAGUGUGAGUUGGAUGUGGCCCCUUGGUACCAGCAGCCAUACAAACAGCCCCACAGCUGUGGGACUGCCUGCUCUCUUCUCUGCGCCAGCAGUAGGUAUCUCCUGGGCUACCAACACUCUUCCUGCCACAACCUUCCCUCUGGCCUGCCUUGAAAUCAGUGACCCUGCAGCCCUUCCAGCUUUACUUUAAUAUUCAUCUCCCACGGGGCAGUUGCUGAGUGACGAGCACAGUAGGCAGAGGAGGACCAAGCCUCCGUGACUGUGCAGGUGACGGACUUUGAGCCUUCAGAGCUGGGUGCUUGAGGAGCUGCGUUCAGAUAUAAGCACCUCCAAGACUAUGUCUGUCCUGUUCCUUGAGAGGUCUCUUUUCCUUUGCCUAAGGAGAGCAAGGCUGGUGCUGUCUCAGCCCCAACACGAAGGUCCCCGUCUAGGGAUCAGGGACACUCAGUACCUAGCAGUCCCUGGGCACAACAUGCUUGGUCCAGUGAUGCUGCUAUGGCUGACAACUCACCUGGCUGCUCUCCCCAGAAGCAGAGAGGGAGCCUGUCACUGUCACAGCCCCAGCAGUGUAUCUAAGGCAGGGUUUAGCUGCAUGGAGAGGGUCACCUGCUGGGUUGUGUUUCAGCAUCGUGCUACGUUUUGGUCUCUUUUUCCCUUUCUCUGCACCACACUCCUGGUACAAAGGAUUUGACACCAGGUGAUUAUCUGAAACUGGAGACACAAGGUGCUGGUGCAGCUCUGGUUACACAUAUUAUGCCGAAGCCUUCAUUCUUACUAUCAUGAGCAUGUCGCCCCACAGUUUUUCUUUGUUUGUUUGUUUGUUUACAUAAUUAAUGCAGUGAAAUGAAAACACUGUCCAUAUAAUUGUGAGGACGUCAGAUGUUCAAACAUAAUAUACUCCAUUCUAAGGUGACAGAUAUGUGAGGUAGUCUUCGUUUUUAAGUAUUCACGUCUUGAAAAUAAUAUAAUUACACUCAUCUAUUUAGGGUUUCUGUGAUUAUUGGCCAUCACCUCUUCCUGGACCUGAGGCUUCCCUGAGGUCAAAGUAGAAAUAUUCAGCAACAGCCUGAACCACACAGAUGUUGCAUAUCUACUUGACAGUGUUUACUAUUUCCAGGAUUGUUUUAAAUAAAUAAUGCUUUCAAACAGAGCGGGUCGCCUCCAUAAAGAUGGCCUCGUAUAGCAAGAGAAGGAAAGAAGCAGAGAAGAAAGGAAGAGCGAUUAAAUCAGGAUGGUGACCCUGUCUGAGGGAAGCUGAUGAAGCCCUACAGGAGGGAGAUCUGAGUCAUGAGAGCCUUCUCAUGGAAAUUUACUUCCUGGCCUCCUUUCUGCUGCACACUGAGAACAGAAGAUGAACUAGGACGUGGUAGAGGGAAGCUGCAAUGGUCCCAGAGAGAAGCAGAGGAUUGCUGGCUUAGAAGAAAGCUUGCUUCCCAGGUUUGAGUGUUAGCUGAACCACACAGAGGACUGGCUGUGACCAGACAAAAUGGCCUUGCUGAAUUAAGCCAGACAGAAGAAACAAACCCCCUAAAAAAUCAUGUCCCAACAGGUAAAAGGAGAUCCUGCCCAGAUACUUUAGGAAAUCCCAGACAAAUUAAGCAAAAAGCUGAGCUGCAAAUGAAAGAAAAAGGGAUGUGAGCAAAGGCAGCAAGUAAACAACAAAAAAAAACCAACAACCCAACACAGUUUUUUAAAGGAGGCUAAAAAAAAUUCAUGUCAAGGAAGAAAGGGGGAAAAGGGAAGGAAGGAAAGGAGCUUCCCUCCUGCCAAGUGCACACAGCAACCUCCACUCUCUCAGAAGCGUUAUUUCUAGCCAAAGCCAAAUGAAAGGCUCCUGGCUGAACUGAAAUGAAAACAUCCAUUUUUGAGAUUGGCUCUGCACAUUGCCAGCACAGAGGUGAUGAGAGGCUACCAGCAGCUCCGGGCAAGCGAGGAAGAUGGGAAGCAGGAAAGGAAGCUUGAAAAGUUUGAAAAUAACUAUCAGCUAAUUUUGACUACAAAAAGGAUCAUCCUAGUUUAGAAUGAUUGCUGCGAUGCUGUAGAAGGCAUUUUUCCUGUUAUUCCUAUUUGAAAGUGCAGAUAAAGGGAGUGCAACUCCUUCCCUCUGCAAAUAAGUCACUACGCAUGGCAAAGUACUGCCAGGCACUCUAUUGCCGAAAUGCAUUGCUGAAAGCUGGGCAGCUGCCUCCAAGCAAGCGGAGAGCAGCUGCUGUCACCUCGGGUGUCUCUUCCACAAUUGCAAUGGGAAUCCCUAUGGGCAAUCUCCAUGGGCAAUCUCCAAGUUUUGGAUCCAGGAAUGGGAAUCCCCAGGCCUCUUAGGAAGACCAAGUAGUAGAAAUUCCUCCUAAAUCCCAUGUGCUUUCUCUUCCCUGGGAAUUCUCUGCUCGUAGGCGUCCCCCACAGCACGAGGGAGCUCCACGAGGCUCCCUCCAGCUUGCGCAGUGAAGGAAGCUGGAUGGAAUUUCCCCUGUCAUGCUGACACCCAGGCACCACGCUGUGUGCUACAACUUGGCACGUGUGACUCGUCCUCUCUUUGCAGAUGAGCAUGAGCUCGGCGCAAUUUCACCACAGUCAAGAGAGUCCCUGGAAAAAAUGGAAAUGGAACUCAGGCCAAAAACUUCCUGCAAACAGUGCUAGGAUCAUUGGACCAUAUCUCUUAUUUGCAUUGGUGCAAGUCAAGAUGUGUGUUUCUUGCGGAUAGCGUGAGGAGCUGACAUGGAGGAAGAUCAGAGCCUGGGUUUAACUAACACCAGAAGUCGUAUUUACGUCAGCCAGAAAAGGGUGUCUUCGCUUAGAUAUUGUAUUCAGGGUGUUCUGUAGCUCUGAGGUUUUAUUUUCCUUUUCCUAACCAUAAAAAAUAAUAAAAUGAGAUUAACAUAAAGAUAAGAACCUGAGCCAAGGGGGCUGGCACCGACUCCCAGCCAGCUGCCCUACUCCUUCCCUAUCACCUCCUGGGGCAGCCAGGCACUGCAAGAGGCACUGCCCACUGCAGGUGAGCCCAUGCCACAUCCUGCUUUGCCCUCCACCACUGCCACCCCAAACCCAAGAAGCAGAGGUUGUGCUGAUCUUCUCAAGUCCUAAAAGCAGCGAUUGGGAAAGCAAAAGAGCAGAGAGUUAGCCACUUAAAUCCGGACAUUAGCUCACGAGAAGCUGACUCCUUCAGAUCCAGAAGAGGCACAGCUGUGUUGUUUUGCUACCAUGAACAGGAGAUUGUUUAUAUGCAUAGAAAUACAUUUUUUAAAAACUCAUAUCUCAGCAUCUACUCUGCUGGAAGCAGGUCAAGCUGGGAAGCGUUCUAGUUCAUGCUGACAUAUACUGAAAGCUGUUCGCUGUUUCUGCUGGGAGUCUCUGAAAAGAAAGUACAGCGCUUGGGAAUUAAUACCAGAAGGGAGAACGUCAUGUUAAGGCAGG
ensembl:lncRNA